rnacentral:rRNA from 1 species
UACGUAGGGUGCGAGCGUUAAUCGGAAUUACUGGGCGUAAAGCGUGCGCAGGCGGUUUUAUAAGCCAGAUGUGAAAGCCCCGGGCUCAACCUGGGAAUGGCAUUUGGGACUGUAAGGCUGGAGUAUGGCAGAGGAGACUAGAAUUCCUGGUGUAGCAGUGAAAUGCGUAGAUAUCAGGAGGAAUACCGAUGGCGAAGGCAGGUCUCUGGGCCAAUACUGACGCUCAUGCACAAAAGCGUGGGGAGCAAACAGG